AAAGUCGGGUCGUGGGAGGAAGAAGCUGGUUUGUUGACAUUUUUAGGUAAAAUGUAUCUUAUUCGUACAGUUCAAGGUGAUGCAUUCAAGUCCCGCAGCAACGCGCGGGUCCAUUUUCUAGUAUUUUUCUACAGUGAAAGAAUACAAUGAAAGAUUACGACCCUACUAAAUAAAACGGUAACUACUGAAA